rnacentral:misc_RNA from 1 species
UACGAAGGGGGCUAGCGUUGUUCGGAAUUACUGGGCGUAAAGGGCGCGUAGGCGGUACUCCAAGUCAGGCGUGAAAGCCCCGGGCUCAACCUGGGAACCGCGCUUGAGACUGGAGAACUAGAGUUCGGGAGCGGAUGGUGGAAUUCCCAGUGUAGAGGUGAAAUUCGUAGAUAUUGGGAAGAACACCGAUGGCGAAGGCAGCCAUCUGGACCGACACUGACGCUGAGGCGCGAAAGCGUGGGGAGCAAACAGG